CCUACGGGUGGCUGCAGUGAGGAAUAUUGGUCAAUGGCCGUAAGGCUGAACCAGCCAAGUCGCGUGAAGGAAGAAGGAUCUAUGGUUUGUAAACUUCUUUUAUAGGGGAAUAAAGGUAACCACGUGUGGAUAGUUGCAUGUACCCGAUGAAUAAGCAGCGGCUAACUCCGUGCCAGCAGCCGCGGUAAUACGGAGGAUGCGAGCGUUAUCCGGAUUUAUUGGGUUGAAAGGGUGCGUAGGUUGUUUUUUAAGUCAGCGGUGAAAGUUUGUGGCUCAACCAUAAACUUGCCGUUGAAACGGGCCGCCUUGAGUGUGUUUGAGGUAGGCGCACUGCGUGGUGUAGCGGUGAAAUGCUUAGAUAUCACGCAGAACUCCGAUUGCGAAGGCAGCUUACUAACCCCUACCUGACACUGACGCACGAAAGCGUGGGUAUCACACAGGAUUAGAUACCCUGGUAGUC
rnacentral:rRNA from 1 species